UCUUUCUUCAUUCUGCAGUUUUUUCGAUUAUCACCUCUCCUCCUCUACUCUUUGCCAUAACUCUCCGGUGCUUGAAAACAGAAAAAAUCUUUUCCUCUCUUAGUGUCGUUGAUUCGCCUCCUUCUCAUUUAUGAAACCCUAACAUUAUUCAGAUAUGCUUGGGAUUUGGGAAGGACUUAGGCUGUAUCAUCAAGGUAGAUUGAGAUUCUUUUCAGAUAUGCUUGUCUAGAUAAUAAGCAAUGCAGUAGAUGUUGUGGUUUAGAAUUUUCUUUAUUUAAACUUUUUGGGAAAUAUGUACUACUUGAGUUAACUUUGUCUCAUACACAAUAUCUUUAUUUUGUAUAUACUUAACAUUAAUGAAAGUACAAUAGAUUUUGUAAUUUA